rnacentral:rRNA from 1 species
GACGUAGGGCGCGAGCGUUGUCCGGAUUUAUUAGGGCGUAAAGAGCUCGUAGGCGGCUUGUCGCGUCGAACUGUGAAAUCCCGCGGCUCAACUGCGGGUCUGCAGUCGAUACGGGCAGGCGUAGAGUUCGGUAGGGGAGACGUGGAAUUCCUGGAUGUAGCGGUGAAAUGUGCAGAUAGUCAGGAGGAACACCGGUGGCGAAGGCGGGUCUCUGGGCCGAUACUGACGGCUGAGGAGCGAAAGCCAGGGAGCAAACGGG